GCCAUCAUUUAGUUGGGCACUCUAGCGAGACUGCCGGUGACAAACCGGAGGAAGGUGGGGAUGACGUCAAAUCAUCAUGCCCCUUAUGACCUGGGCUACACACGUGCUACAAUGGGAAGUACAACGAGUCGCUAGACCGCGAGGUCAUGCAAAUCUCUUAAAGCUUCUCUCAGUUCGGAUUGCAGGCUGCAACUCGCCUGCAUGAAGCCGGAAUCGCUAGUAAUCGCGGAUCAGCACGCCGCGGUGAAUACGUUCCCGGGCCUUGUACACACCGCCCGUCACACCACG
rnacentral:rRNA from 1 species